rnacentral:rRNA from 1 species
CCUACGGGAGGCUGCAGUGGGGAAUUUUGGACAAUGGGCGCAAGUCUGAUCCAGCAAUACCGCGUGCAGGACGAAGGCCUUCGGGUUGUAAACUGCUUUUGUACGGAACGAAAAGCCUUCUUCUAAUACAGGGAGGUCAUGACGGUACCGUAAGAAUAAGCACCGGCUAACUACGUGCCAGCAGCCGCGGUAAUACGUAGGGUGCAAGCGUUAAUCGGAAUUACUGGGCGUAAAGCGUGCGCAGGCGGUUGUGUAAGACAGGUGUGAAAUCCCCGAGCUCAACUUGGGAAUUGCACUUGUGACUGCACAGCUAGAGUACGGCAGAGGGGGAUGGAAUUCCGCGUGUAGCAGUGAAAUGCGUAGAUAUGCGGAGGAACACCGAUGGCGAAGGCAAUCCCCUGGGCCUGUACUGACGCUCAUGCACGAAAGCGUGGGGAGCAAACAGGAUUAGAUACCCCGGUAGUC